rnacentral:tRNA from 1 species
GGGAAAUUACAUUAAUUGGUAGAUGGCUACUCUUACACAGUUGAGGCAUAGGUUCGAAUCCUAUAUUUCCUA